rnacentral:lncRNA from 1 species
UUGAUUUUGUCUGAAAGGACAUGUAAGGCGAUGAGAAUAUAGGGAUUUAUUGGGUGGUGUCUACGGAGGGAUUUUCCAGUGACGGGAUCACCUGACUGAUCAACAAUUUUAGAUGUUACUUUGGUCUGUUAUUAGAUUACAUUUUAAAUUGAAAGAAAGUGAGCAACAAAAAUACUACUGGCAAUAAUUGUCAUUUCUCUAUCAAAGAGGUUGGGAAAUGUGAUUAAAGCAAGCGACGACACCACACUCUUUUAUGCACUUCAUCAAGAUUCAAGUUAAAGUUUAGGGCAGUGGUGAUUCGGAGGUGUGGCCGGCCGACUCGAGGAAGGAAGGAGGAGUGUAGGGGAUGCUGGUAUGGAGAAAAAAAUAAAUUGAAUUUGAGCUUUGGAGUAGAUAUAAUGUAUUGGAUGAUUAAGAGAGAGAAAGUAAAAAAUUAAAUUAUGUAAUUAUU